UAAUGUACAUUGAUGAAGAAGAGUAAUAGAAGAUUCUUUUUUAGAGAGAUUGUGUUUGGUGAAAACAAUCAAAGUUCUUUUGUGAAGGGCGCUUUUGAGUACAAUAUUCUUUUAAAGUAGGGCUGUAGCCAAGAAGGGUGGAACCGCGGAUUUUAUUCGUCCCUUUG
rnacentral:ncRNA from 1 species